rnacentral:pre_miRNA from 1 species
GCACGGCGUGGUGUGCUCAGUAACAUGGGUUCGAACCUCGCGUUGGUUCUCCGCCGAGGUUGGCCCUGCGUUGCUGUGCACAAAACGUCGAC